GGUCUCAUGGAAGGCUACAAUGGCACCAUCUUUGCCUGUGGCAGUGGGAAAUCCUUCACCAUGCAGGGAGCUGCAGAUUGUGCCUCACAGAAAGGGAUCAUCCCCAGGGUGUUUGAACACAUCUUUGAGAGUGUGCAGAUGAGCAAGGCCAGGAUCACCUCAGGGCUGCCAAACUCAGCUUGGUGCAUCUGGCAGGAGGUGAGAGACAGGCAAGGACUGGUGCCACAGGGGAGAGCUCAAAGAGGCCACCAAAACCCACCUGUCCCUGCCUGCCCUGGGCAAUGUCACCUCAGCCCUGGUGGAUGGCAGGGGCAGACACAUUCUCUACAGACUCCAAGCUGUUGGGAUCUUUAG
rnacentral:lncRNA from 1 species